rnacentral:lncRNA from 1 species
AAAAAAUAGAAUGUACUUAGAUGGAAAAUAUAUGGCAUUUGAACCUAUACGGUUCAAUAAAUGGGAUGAUGAUGGUACUGUGACUCUUAAUUGAAUGAAAAUAGAUUGCCUGCUGCCUACUUUGUUUUAAAUUCUAUGAAAUCGAAUGACCCGAUGGAAAAAUAGCAUGACCCUGAUGGAAAAUAUAUGGUAUGUAAGCCUAUAUCAGUUAUAAAUUCUAUGAAAUAGAAUGACCCAAUGGAAAAAAUAGAAUAACCCUUAUGGAAAAAAUAGAAUGUCCCUGAUGGAAAAUAUAUGGUAUUUGAACCUAUACUGUUCGAUAAAUGGUAGCAUAAUGGUACUGUGACCCUUAAUCGAAUGCAAAUAGAAAGACUACUUUGUUUUAAAUUCUAAAAAAUAGAAUGACCUGAUGGAAAAAAUAAAAUGUCCCUGAUGGAAAAUAUAUGAUUGUACUGUGACACUUAUUCGAAUGAUAAUAGAAAGCCUACUUUGUUUUCAAUUUUAUGAAAUAGAAUGACCCGAUGGAAAAAAUAGAAUGACCCUGAUGGAAAAAAUAGAAUGUCCCUCAUGGAAAAUAUAUGGUAUUUGAACCUAUACGGUUCGAUAAAUGGG